GUACCAGAGAACUGGAUGGUGUGAAAUGAAAAAAACAGUAUUUUGUAUCAAAAUUAACUCUGGUAACUCAUGAAGUUGGUCUUUAUUUCCUCUUGUCGUCUUACUAAUGUUGAUAAAAAACAAACACAAAACAAACCCCCUUCAUCUGCUGUGGAUAGCCCCAUGUGCGUAGGGCAGAGUGAUGAGCUGAGAUUACUGCCAACUAAGCAUUUACUACUAUUUACUAGCAUUUACAAUUACUCAGCAUUA